GUCCCUGUAGCUUACAACAAAGCAUGGCACUGAAGAUGCCAAGACGGCCCACAUCCUCCCAGGGACA
rnacentral:tRNA from 1 species